AAAUGCCUGGGUAAAUCGUGUAGCUUAACUCUACGAAUUCCGGAUAGACUGCCAAACUUGAGACCGGGAGAAGCUAGAGGUACUCCUGGGGUAGAGGUGAAAUUCUGUAAUCCUGGGGGGACCACCAGUGGCGAAGGCGUCUAGCUAGAACGGGUCUGACGGUGAGGAACGAAGCCCUGGGGCGCAAACCGGAUUAGAUACCCGGGUAGUCCAGGGUGUAAACGCUGCUUGCUUGAUGUUAGCUGGGCUCCGAGCCCAAUUAGUGUCGGAGAGAAGUUGUUAAGCAAGCUGCCUGGGAAGUACGAUCGCAAGAUUGAAACUUAAAGGAAUUGGCGGGGGAGCACAGCAACGGGUGGAGCGUGCGGUUUAAUUGGAUUCAACGCCGGAGAACUCACCGGAGGCGACGGCUACAUGAAGGCCAGGCUGAUGACCUUGCUUGAUUUUCCGAGAGGUGGUGCAUGGCCGCCGUCAGUUCGUACCGUAAGGCGCUCUGUUAAGUCAGAUAACGAACGAGACCCUCAUCUCUAAUUGCUACUAUUAAGUCCGCUUAAUAGGCACAUUAAAGAAACCGCUGGCGAUAAGUCAGAGGAAGGCGAGGGCAACGGUAGGUCAGUAUGCCCUGAAUCCUCCGGGCUACACGCGCGCUACAAAGGCUAGGACAAUGAGCUUCGACCCCGAGAGGUGAAGGCAAUCUCGAAACCUCGUCAUAGUUCGGAUUGAGGGUUGAAACUCACCCUCAUGAAGCUGGAAUCCGUAGUAAUCGCAGAUCAACAUCAUGCGGUGAAUAUGCCCCUGCUCCUUGCACACCCCGCCCGUCAAGCCCUGCGGAUUGGGCUUGAGUGAGGACGUAGUCUUGACGCGUCCAAACU
rnacentral:rRNA from 1 species